CAUCAGUGACGUAUCAGUGCCGUAUCCGCUCAGUGCUUCAGUGUCAGUGAAAAAAAAUAUCGUUACUUUGAAUUUGACUGACGCGUUCACACACGUCCGGCGCAGUACCGUGUUUUGACUCUCAGUGACCGUUACGUCUCCGUUCCGUGAAACUGAAUAUCGUCGCCACCGAUAUUUUCAGAUUUUCACGGACGCCGGAAGCUAUGGAUGACGAACUACUCAUUGAACUGGUGCGGAACCAUCCAGUUCUGUAUGAUCUCUCACAACCAAAAUAUAUGGAUUCCAACUUUAAACAAGAUAUAUGGAAUAAAAUAGGAGAAGAAAUGAAAGUAGAUGGUUCAGCAUGUAAAAGCAGAUGGAACAUAUAAGGGACAAUUACAGAAAAUCUAUGAAGAAGACUUCAACUAAGAGUGGGCAAAGUGCAAAGAAAAUUAAACUGUACAAAUUUUCUGAGCAAUUAAGCUUUUUAAAGUUAUACAUGCACGAGAGGGAAACAAAGGGAAACAUCGCAAGUGAGGAACAUGAAGGAAACAAUCACGACGAUGUUGUAGAAAACCAGGAGGACGAAGAAGAGAACAUCCAGACAGAUGCAGGGAACCACAGUAUUGGACGGAGGCCUGCAUGAAGAUUUGCAGACACAACCAUUGCCCUCACCAAAGCCUACUCUUGAAGCUAAAGUUAAGUCAUUAGCAGGAAAUCAAAGAAGAGAGUGGCACCUCAACAAACAGCUUCUGCAAAAUUAAUGGAGUAUUUGAUAAGUAAACAAGAAAAUCAAACCGCUUCCACCCACCACACCCUGUUGACGCAUUUCUAGCAGGCAUUGCUCCAACUCUCAAGACUUUGACCCCUUAUUAUUUGAAUGUAGCAAAAUCUGAAAUAUUUGCUACAGUACAGAAAUAUGAAAUGCAAAUGCUUAUCAAUCAACAUCAUUUGAAAGACUACCUGAGCCUUCAGCUUCUACAUCAUCAACUUCGACUCCACAUCCCUCACCUCAGCCAGUGCAGGAACAUACAACAGUAACAUAUGGAGAUCAGCAACAGAAGUUAUCUACUUAUACAUCAGUUCCAAACAGCGCCAAUCCUUUGCAAAACUACUUUUCAACUUUCAGGAUUCUUAACUCUUCAAUAGGCUAUACAAACUUAAAACAUUAGCGUUAUCACUAACGUCAAGAAACACACAUAAGUAAUGAUGAAUUUUGAGAGUGAGAAACAAAUUAAUGUACGUACUGUCACUUAGCAUGAAAAUAAACUUUUAAAAGUUUAAA